AAGUUAAGCAAUGGUGGAAAUCAGAGAGACCAGACCUUUGUCAGAGUGAACCUGACCCUUAGCAACCUUGCCCAAUCUCUCUAUUCUUUUCAAUAAAUCAAUUAAAUAUUAAUAUGUAUUGAUAUUUAUUAAAUUAAAUAUCAAUAUGUAUGGUAGUUUUUAUUAUGUACGUUGUCAGAGAUUUAAUCUUUUUCAUAAAUGAAUAAUCCACCAAUUUUUGCUAAACUAUAAUCUAAAGGAAUGUAAUGUUCUGAACUAAAUUCUUAAAUCUCCACUGGAGUUUUCUAUUGUUGUUUUCUAUUUUCUAAAAGGAUCACAGGCAGAACAAUAUUUUUUAAGAAGUUGCUUGUUGCAUGCCUUCUAAACAGCCUACCCUGCCAAGUGCCAUGAUUACUGUGACCACAUCUUCAGAACCAGAAAACAGGAUACCUGGCCCUAAGCAUGCACUCAUGGAGCAGAAGAGUUUUAAAUCUGGAAUGCCACAGAAGACAGAAGAUAACAUGCUUACUACACUUGUAAAGCAACAUGCAGCCAGCCAUUUCCAGUGCAAAUUAUCUCAUUGCAUAGUGUGACAACUAAAGGUCAUAACCAUAAU
rnacentral:lncRNA from 1 species